GGUAAUAUAGCUCAGUUGGUGGAGUGCUUGCCUUGCAUGCAUACAAGCUCUGGGUUCAAUCCCCAGCACCA
rnacentral:tRNA from 1 species